GGAUUUGGUAGCUUGCUACCAAAUUAGUGGCGAACGGGUGAGUAACACGUGGGAAUCUGCCCCUUAGUAAGGAAUAACAGUUAGAAAUGACUGCUAAUACCGUAUAAGCCCUACGGGGGAAAGGUCUUCGGAUCGCUGAAGGAUGAGCCUGCGUAUGAUUAGCUAGUUGGUGGGGUAAAUGCCUACCAAGGCUGUGAUCUUUAGCCGGUCUGAGAGGAUGAUCGGUCACACUGGAACUGAGAUACGGUCCAGACUCCUACGGGAGGCAGCAGUGGGGAAUUUUGGACAAUGGACGAAAGUCUGAUUCAGCGAUACCACGUGAAUGAUGAAGGCCUUAGGGUUGUAAAGUUCUUUUGACAGAGAUAAUAAUGAUAGUAUCUGUAGAAAAAGCACCGGCUAACUUCGUGCCAGCAGCCGCGGUAAUACGAAGGGUGCAAGCGUUGCUCGGAAUUAUUGGGCGUAAAGCGUAUGUAGGUGGUUUUAUAAGUUAGUAGUGAAAUACCGGGGCUUAACUUCGGUGCUGCUACUAAUACUAUAAGGCUAGAGUUAGGUAGAGGAUAGUGGAAUUCCUAGUGUAGAGGUAGAAUUCGUAGAUAUUAGGAGGAACGCCGGAAGCGAAGGCUGCUAUCUGGGCCUGUACUGACACUGAGAUACGAAAGUGUGGGGAGCAAACAGGAUUAGAUACCCUGGUAGUCCACACUGUAAACGAUGAGUGCUAGGUGUUGGGGCAAUUAUGCUUCAGUGCCGAAGUUAACACGAUAAGCAUUCCGCCUGGGGAGUACGGCCGCAAGGUUAAAACUCAAAGGAAUUGACGGGGAUCCGCACAAGUGGUGGAGCAUGCGGUUUAAUUCGAUGAUACGCGAAAAACCUUACCAAUCUUUGACAUGUACACAGCGGAUGAUGGAGACAUCAUCUUGAUUUAGUUCGGUGUACACAGGUGUUGCAUGGCUGUCGUCAGCUCGUGUCGUGAGAUGUUGGGUUAAGUCCCGCAACGAGCGCAACCCUCGCCCUAUUUUGCCAACAGGUAAUGCUGGGAACUAUUAGGGUACUGCCGGUGUUGAGCCGGAGGAAGGCGAGGAUGACGUCAAGUCAUCAUGGCCCUUAUGGAUUGGGCUACACGCGUGCUACAAUGGCUUCCACAAAGAGACGCAAUCCCGCGAGGAGGAGCAAAUCUCAAAAAAGAAGUCUCAGUUCAGAUUGCACUCUGCAACUCGAGUGCAUGAAGUUGGAAUCACUAGUAAUCACAGGUCAGCAUACUGUGGUGAAUACGUUCUCGGGUCUUGUACACACCGCCCGUCACGCGAUGGGAGUCGGUUCUGCUUGAAACCGGUGAGCUAACCAGAAAUGGAGGCAGCCGUCUAUGGUGGAGUUGGCGACUGGCGUGAAGUCGUAACAAGGUA
rnacentral:rRNA from 1 species